rnacentral:rRNA from 1 species
UACGAAGGGGACUAGCGUUGUUCGGAAUCACUGGGCGUAAAGCGCACGUAGGCGGAUAUGUCAGUCAGGGGGUGAAAUCCCGGGGGCUCAACCUCGGAACUGCCCUUGAUACAGCAUGUCUUGAGUCCGAUAGAGGUGGGUGGAAUUCCUAGUGUAGAGGUGAAAAUUUCGUAGAUAUUAGGAAGAACACCGGUGGCGAAGGCGGCCCCAUGGAUCGGUACUGACGCUGAGGUGCGAAACGUGGGGGAGCAAACAGG